GAGCAGGCGAGACUACCCGCUGAAUUUAAGCAUAUUACUAAGCGGAGGAAAAGAAACUAACAAGGAUUCCCCCAGUAGCGGCGAGCGAACAGGGAAGAGUCCAGCACCGAACCCCGCAGGCUAGCGCCUGCCGUGGCAUGUGGUGUUUGGGAGGGUCCACUACCCCGGUGCUUCGCGCUGAGUCCAAGUCCAACUUGAAUGAGGCCACGGCCCGUAGAGGGUGCCAGGCCCGUAGAGACUGGUGCGAGUGCCGGGAGGGCCUCUCCUCCGAGUCGGGUUGCUUGAGAGUGCAGCUCCAAGUGGGUGGUAAACUCCAUCUGAGACUAAAUAUGACCACGAGACCGAUAGCGAACAAGUACCGUGAGGGAAAGUUGAAAAGAACUUUGAAGAGAGAGUUCAAAAGUACGUGAAACCGUUCUGGGGUAAACGUGAGAAGUCCGAAAGGUCGAACGGGGAGAUUCACGUCCAUCCGGCCACUGGCCUCCGCCCUCGGCAGAUGGGGCCGGCCGCCCGCGCGGAGCAAUCCGCAGCGGGGUCGUGKCCGKYYACUCGCCGUGGGGUGGAGCCGUUCCAGUGUGCGGUGGACCGCACUUCUCCCCUAGUAGGACGUCGCGACCCGCUGGGUGCUGGCCUACGGCCUGGGUGCGCAGCCUGUCCUUCCGCGGGCUUCGGUUCGCGUYGUUGGGCAGAGCCCUGGUGCUCUGGCUGGCUGCUCGGCGGUAUAUCUUGAGGAGUCGAUUCGCCAACUCUGUUUGGGCGCCCUUGGCUCCCGGCAAGCGUGUGCGGUUCUUCCCGGAUGACGGACCUACCUGGCCCGGCCCCGGACCCACGCCGCUGUUGGCACGGGAAGUCCUCGGGCGGAAUGAUCGCUCCCGUCAGCGGCGCUUCAGCUUUGGACAAUUUCACGACCCGUCUUGAAACACGGACCAAGGAGUCUAACAUGUGCGCGAGUCAUUGGGCUCUGCGAAACCUAAAGGCGAAAUGAAAGUGAAGGUCCCGCCUUGCGCGGACCGAGGGAAGAUGGGGUUCGGCGGCSSKYGCCGGCCUCGGCAUUCCCGGGGCGUCUCGUCCUCAUUGCGAGGUGAGGCGCACCCAGAGCGUACACGUUGGGACCCGAAAGAUGGUGAACUAUGCCUGGCCAGGACGAAGUCAGGGGAAACCCUGAUGGAGGUCCGUAGCGAUUCUGACGUGCAAAUCGAUCGUCGGAGCUGGGUAUAGGGGCGAAAGACUAAUCGAACCAUCUAGUAGCUGGUUCCCUCCGAAGUUUCCCUCAGGAUAGCUGGUGCUCAUACGAGUCUCAUCCGGUAAAGCGAAUGAUUAGAGGCCUUGGGGCCGAAACGACCUCAACCUAUUCUCAAACUUUAAAUGGGUGAGAUCUCCGGCUUGCUUGAUAUGSUGAAGCCGCGAGCUCGGAUCGGAGUGCCAAGUGGGCCACUUUUGGUAAGCAGAACUGGCGCUGUGGGAUGAACCAAACGCCGAGUUAAGGCGCCCGAAUCGACGCUCAUGGGAAACCAUGAAAGGCGUUGGUUGCUUAAGACAGCAGGACGGUGGCCAUGGAAGUCGGAAUCCGCUAAGGAGUGUGUAACAACUCACCUGCCGAAGCAACUAGCCCUGAAAAUGGAUGGCGCUGAAGCGUCGUGCCUAUACUCGGCCGUCAGUAUGGCAGUCAUGGCCGGUCCUUGUGGCCGGCCGCGAAGCCCUGACGAGUAGGAGGGUCGCGGCGGUGAGCGCAGAAGGGUCUGGGCGUGAGCCUGCCUGGAGCCGCCGUCGGUGCAGAUCUUGGUGGUAGUAGCAAAUACUCCAGCGAGGCCCUGGAGGGCUGACGUGGAGAAGGGUUUCGUGUGAACAGCCGUUGCACACGAGUCAGUCGAUCCUAAGCCCUAGGAGAAAUCCGAUGUCGAUGGGGGCCGCAAGAACAAAAGUUKSSCYCGUUGGGCGAAAGGGAAUCCGGUUCCUAUUCCGGAACCCGGCAGCGGAACCGAUACAAGUCGGGCCUCUCUUCGUGAGAGGCUCGUCGGGGUAACCCAAAAGGACCCGGAGACGCCGUCGGGAGAUCGGGGAAGAGUUUUCUUUUCUGCAUGAGCGUUCGAGUUCCCUGGAAUCCUCUAGCAGGGAGAUAGGGUUUGGAACGCGAAGAGCACCGCAGUUGCGGCGGUGUCCCGAUCUUCCCCUCGGACCUUGAAAAUCCGGGAGAGGGACACGUGGAGGUGUCGCGCCGGUUCGUACCCAUAUCCGCAGCAGGUCUCCAAGGU
rnacentral:rRNA from 1 species